GUAGUCAAUCAGUUGGUAGAGCAUGAGACUCUUAAUCUCAGGGUUGUGGGUCCAAGCCCCACCUUGGGCA